GCUUCGUUAGCUCAGUGGUAGAGCGUGUGGCUUUUAAGGGAUUUAGAAAUUUAUCCCUGAAGAACACCUCAAUGUCGCGGGUUCGACCCCCGCACGAAGCU